GACGAACGCUGGCGGCGUGCUUAACACAUGCAAGUCGAGCGGUAAGGCCCUUUCGGGGGUACACAAGCGGCGAACGGGUGAGUAACACGUGGGUGACCUGCCCUCAGCUCUGGGAUAAGCCUGGGAAACCGGGUCUAAUACCGGAUAUGACUCCAUGACGCAUGUUGUGGGGUGGAAAGCCUUGUGCGGCUGAGGAUGGGCCCGCGGCCUAUCAGCUUGUUGGUGGGGUGAUGGCCUACCAAGGCGACGACGGGUAGCCGGCCUGAGAGGGCGACCGGCCACACUGGGACUGAGACACGGCCCAGACCUCCGUACGGGAGGCAGCGAGGUGGGGAAUCUUGCGCAAGUGGGACGAAAGCCUGACGCAGCGACGCCG
rnacentral:rRNA from 1 species